UACUAAAUCCAUGAAAAAACCUGUUUCGAAAUAAUCACUCAGAUAUAAAAAAAAUACAGAUUUAAAAUCUGUGAAAAAACGUGGAUAUUUUUUUCUGUAAAUGGCUGAAUGGGCUUCGAUCCCUUUGCCUUAAUGCCUUUCCAUAUGGAUAAAAAAUAAACUUUGGUAAAACAAAAAAUAAGGUUAUAUCAUCCGAAAUUGUAGAAACAAUAUGCGAAUAUAUAGGCCUCGUGGACUAACAAAUGGCCAAAUAGCUCUAGUUACGGUUCUUGGCGUUCUUGGAGGAGUUUAUAUCUGGAGACCGCUAUUUGACGAACUCUAUCCUAGUAGAAGAAGGAAGGCUGUAGUAACUGAAGAAGUACCUGAAUCAAAAUCCGUAUAAAAUCAAUCAAAACAAUGGGUGUAUUCAGUCGCUGGUUUCAAAA